GGGUGUGAGGGGAUCUAGCUGGGACACUUGUCACCCCAUUGGGUCACCAUGGUUGAUUUGGCUGAUCUGGCCGUGAGCGGUUUGACCCCUUCCUCCCUCAACAAUCCAUGUGUGUCCCUUCCAAAGCUGUGUGAUUGGUUAGCGAGGAUGACUUUCUGUCGUGACCUUCUCUAAUAGGGAACUGUUCUUAGGUCAAGGGUACAUGAGUAGCUAUGUUUCCUGCCAGAACCUCCAGAAAGCUCUCAGAAAAUCAGGACUUCUUUCCCUGUGGGAGAAGAUGAAGCCAGGCCAGUCACUGGAACAAUCAGCUUGUUCCCCACAACCCUUCAUUCUGU
rnacentral:snRNA from 1 species